UACGGAGGGGGCAAGCGUUAUCCGGAAUUACUGGGUUUAAGGGUGCGUAGGCGGCUUCAUAAGUCAGGGGUGAAAGCCUAUCGCUUAACGAUAGAAUUGCCUUUGAUACUGUAAAGCUUGAAAGGGGUUGAGGUCGGCAGAAUGUGGCAUGUAGCGGUGAAAUGCAUAGAUAUGCCAUAGAACACCGAUUGCGAAGGCAGCUGGCUGGGCCUACUUUGACGCUGAGGCACGAAAGCGUGGGGAGCGAACAGG
rnacentral:rRNA from 1 species